GAUGAACGCUGGCGGCGUGCCUAAUACAUGCAAGUCGAGCGAAUGGAUUAAGAGCUUGCUCUUAUGAAGUUAGCGGCGGACGGGUGAGUAACACGUGGGUAACCUGCCCAUAAGACUGGGAUAACUCCGGGAAACCGGGGCUAAUACCGGAUAACAUUUUGAACCGCAUGGUUCGAAAUUGAAAGGCGGCUUCGGCUGUCACUUAUGGAUGGACCCGCGUCGCAUUAGCUAGUUGGUGAGGUAACGGCUCACCAAGGCAACGAUGCGUAGCCGACCUGGGAGGGUGAUCGGCCACACUGGGACUGAGAAACGGCCCAGACUCCUACGGGAGGCAGCAGUAGGGAGUCUUCCGCAAUGGACGAAAGUCUGACGGAGCAACGCCGCGUGAGUGAUGAAGGCUUUCGGGUCGUAAAACUCUGUUGUUAGGGAAGAACAAGUGCUAGUUGAAUAAGCUGGCACCUUGACGGUACCUAACCAGAAAGCCACGGCUAACUACGUGCCAGCCGCCGCCGUAA
rnacentral:rRNA from 1 species